GACGAACGCUGGCGGCGUGCUUAACACAUGCAAGUCGAACGGAAAGGUCCUGCUUUUGUGGGGUGCUCGAGUGGCGAACGGGUGAGUAACACGUGAGUAACCUGCCUUUGACUUUGGGAUAACUUCAGGAAACUGGGGCUAAUACCGGAUAGGAGCUCCUGCUGCAUGGUGGGGGUUGGAAAGUUUCGGGGGUAGGGGAUGGACUGGCGGCUUAUCAGCUCGUUGGUGGGGUAGUGGCUUACCAAGGCGUUGACGGGUAGACGGUCUGAGAGGGUGGUCGGGGAAACAGGGAGUGAGACAGGGCGGAGACUCAGACGGGAGGCAGCAGGGGGGACUAUUGGACAAUGGGGUCAAGCCUGAGACAGAACUGCGGGGUGAGUGAUGAAGGUCUUAGGGUUGUAAAGCUCUUGUACCAGGGAUGAUAAGGAGCGUACCGGGAGAAUAAGGCCCGGCUAACUCAGUG
rnacentral:rRNA from 1 species